rnacentral:tmRNA from 1 species
GGGGGCGUAUCUGGCUUCGACGUGGGUCACAAAACCUGAGGGGCAUGCCGAGGGGCAGAAUACCUCGUAAAACCAGCUGCAACUAUAAUAGUUGCCAACGACGACAACUACGCACUAGCCGCUUAAGCCGGUUAGCCUUCGACAGAGUAUGUGCUUGUGCACUCAAAUCGGGGGUCGACUCUCACAAGAUCGCGAUGAAACCUGUCCGGGGUGGAUUCGUUAAAACCUUACCGGAAUCGUCACUUGUUUUCCCUGCCGUUCGGGUAGCAAGCGAUUAAAUGAAUAGAGCCGGCUAAGCAUGUAGAACCGAUGGUGGCGUACUUGCGGACGCGGGUUCAACUCCCGCCGCCUCCACCA